rnacentral:rRNA from 1 species
UACGUAGGGUGCGAGCGUUGUCCGGAAUUACUGGGCGUAAAGAGCUCGUAGGUGGUUUGUUGCGUUGUUCGUGAAAACUCACAGCUCAACUGUGGGCGUGCGGGCGAUACGGGCAGACUGGAGUACUGCAGGGGAGACUGGAAUUCCUGGUGUAGCGGUGGAAUGCGCAGAUAUCAGGAGGAACACCGGUGGCGAAGGCGGGUCUCUGGGACGGUACUGGACGCUGAGACGCGAAAGCGUGGGGAGCGAACAGG